UUUAAGUUCAACCAUAAGUUUACAUGCCUAACUUUAACUGUCUGUCUUAUUUUAAAAAAAUUUUAUAAUUAUUAUUUUUAUUGGUAUGAGAUGAUAAAACAUGAAUAGAAUGUGACUUAUGUUUUUAAUUUUUUUUAAAAAAUUUUCAAAUAAAACGGACGGUCAAACUUGUGCACGAAAAAUCAUGGCUGCACUUAAA
rfam:Oryza rufipogon genomic scaffold, chr10